CCUACGGGUCGCAGCAGUGGGGAAUAUUGCACAAUGGGCGCGAGCCUGAUGCAGCCAUGCCGCGUGUGUGAAGAAGGCCUUCGGGUUGUAAAGCACUUUCAGCGGGGAGGAAGGCGGUGAGGUUAAUAACCUCACCGAUCGACGUUACCCGCAGAAGAAGCACCGGCUAACUCCGUGCCAGCAGCCGCGGUAACACGGAGGGUGCAAGCGUUAAUCGGAAUUACUGGGCGUAAAGCGCACGCAGGCGGUCUGUCAAGUCGGAUGUGAAAUCCCCGGGCUCAACCUGGGAACUGCAUUCGAAACUGGCAGGCUAGAGUCUUGUAGAGGGGGGUAGAAUUCCAGGCGUAGCGGUGAAAUGCGUAGAGAUCUGGAGGAAUACCGGUGGCGAAGGCGGCCCCCUGGACAAAGACUGACGCUCAGGUGCGAAAGCGUGGGGAGCAAACAGGAUUAGAUACCCGAGUAGUC
rnacentral:rRNA from 1 species